rnacentral:rRNA from 1 species
GAUGAACGCUGGCGGCGUGCCUAAUACAUGCAAGUCGAGCGAAUGGAUUAAGAGCUUGCUCUUAUGAAGUUAGCGGCGGACGGGUGAGUAACACGUGGGUAACCUGCCCAUAAGACUGGGAUAACUCCGGGAAACCGGGGCUAAUACCGGAUCACAUUUUGAACCGCAUGGUUCGAAAUUGAAAGGAGGCUUCGGCUGUCACUUCUGGAUGGACCCGCGUCGCAUUAGCUAGUUGGUGAGGUAACGGCUUACCAAGGCAACGAUGCGUAGCCGACCUGAGAGGGUGAGCGGCCACACUGGGACUGAGACACGGCCCAGACUCCUACGGGAGGCAGCAGUAGGGAAUCUUCCGCAAUGGACGAAAGUCUGACGGAGCAACGCCGCGUGAGUGAUGAAGGCUUUCGGGUCGUAAAACUCUAUUGUUAGGGAAGAACAGGUGCUAGUUGAAUAAGCUGGCACCUUGACGGUACCUAACCAGAAAGCCACGGCUAACUACGUGCCAGCCGCCGCCGUAA